rnacentral:rRNA from 1 species
UACGAAGGGGGCAAGCGUUGUUCGGAAUCACUGGGCGUAAAGGGCGCGUAGGCGGUCCUUCAAGUCAGGCGUGAAAGCCCCGGGCUCAACCUGGGAACGGCGCUUGAGACUGGCGGACUGGAGUUCGGGAGAGGAUGGUGGAAUUCCCAGUGUAGAGGUGAAAUUCGUAGAGAUUGGGAAGAACACCGGUGGCGAAGGCGGCCAUCUGGACCGACACUGACGCUGAGGCGCGACAGCGUGGGGAGCAAACAGG